rnacentral:lncRNA from 1 species
ACUGCUGACUUCUCCUUGUAUGCUCACAUGGCAGAAAGAGGGGAAGAGAGCUCUUUGGGGCCUCUUUGAAUGCAGAGGCCAGACACUUGGGAACACAGCAGAGGUCACCCUGCAGUUACAUUCCAGGUAUGCUACCCCCACAGAUUGCUGGAUUGAAUGGUAGUUUUAUUUCCAGUUCUUUGAAAAAUCUCCAUUUCUGCUCUAUUUCUUUCAUAAUCUAACUAUAUUAAUUGGUCAAGAUUUUAAACUUUCCCGGUCAUGAUAGAGAGGGCUGGCGCCGGCCGGGCGUGGUGGCUCACGCCUGUAAUCUCAGCACUUUGGGAGGCGGAGGCGGGCGGAUCACGAGGUCAGGAGAUCGAGACCAUCCUGGCUAACAUGGUGAAACCCCGCCUCUACUAAAAAUACAAAAAAUUAGCCAGGCGUGGUGGCGGGCGCCUGUAGUCCCAGCUAUUCAGGAGGCUGAGGCAGGACAAUGGCAUGAACCCGGGAGGUGGAGCUUGCAGUGAGCCGAGGUCGGGCCACUGCACUCCAGCCUGGGCGACAGAGGGAGACUACGUCUCAAAAAAAAAAAAAAAAAAAAAAAAAAAAAAAAAAAAAAAGGGAGGGCAGUUGCCUUACACGGCUUGCUUUCCCGAAUUUCUGUUUUGAGCAAUGUUCCUAUGCUGCCUGUUUGGGGUUGGUUGGUAGGGCCUGUGGGAGGGCUGUGCUCUUGACUUUGUACACCGAUCCCACUGGUGUGAGUAGAAGAUAAUUUUGUAGGGGCUGCUGAUACUCACAGACUCAUUUUUAGAACCUAUCAAUUGAAGGUCUCUACCUGGAACAGAUGAUUUUAACUCAACCUUCCCAUCCUUCUUCUGAGAUGCAGGACUACAGCAGGAACAUACUUGUGAUGAGAGAGGGGGGUGAUUUAUUUCGCUGCAAGCCUCAUCGAGAUUGGAGGGUAACGGAGAAGCUUUGAAAGCAAAUUCCCACAGUGAGAAAGAGUAGGUGCCAUAAAAAUUCAAUUUUACCAAGGGCUAAAUGAGGGUUGUUUUUUUCCCCCUUAUUUUGAAUUUUGUUUUUUCUGAAAUAGAAAUCCUUUUCUUUUUUCUUUUACUUGACUUCCAUUCUCGGCUCUUGUCUAGGGACCCUAUUUAGGAUUAAAAUAAAUGGACCAUUUCAGCAUAAAUGUAGCAGUGCAGGAAAGAGUGUGGAAAGUGCUUACUGCAUAAAACACAUCCCUUUCUGAUUCAUUACAUCCCUUUUCUGCUGUAUAUAAGUGGACACCUUUCGCUGACUCACUACAGGGUAGCUGAGCACAUGUAUUUUGAAGGGAGGAGACAUUUUCUUCCAAAAUACAUAGGACUAAACCAUAGAUCAAAUAGACUUAUCACAAUCAAUCAAUUAACAAAAGGGACCUUUAGAAACUUGUCUCAUCCAAGCUUGACAUCUUAUUUUCCAGGAACAGAGAUAUGUUUACAGAGGAUAAACUGAUUAGAACAUAGUUUAGACAGGAAAAACUGAUCAUUGAUAGUAAUUAGCUUCUUAAAAAAGAGCAAACAUUUUAUUUUAUUAUCAGUAUUUUUUUUUGAGAGAAUUUCGCUUUUGUCACCCAGCCUGGAGUGCAAUGCACAGUCUUGAUUCACUGCAACCUCUACCUCGCGACCUCAAGUGAUUCUCCUGUCUCAGCCUCCCAAGUAGCUGGGACUACAGGCACCUGCCACCACACCCGGCUAAGUUUUGUAUUUUUAGUAGAGAUGAGGUUUCACCAUGUUGGGCAGGCUGGUCUCGAACUCAUGACCUCAGAUGAUUUGCCUGCCUCAGCUCCCAAAGUGCCGAGAUUACAGGCAUGAGCCACUGCACCGGGUCAAAAGUAAAAUUUUUUAAAAAGCAAACUGGAAACUGAAAUAUGAGAUGUCACUAAAGCAAGCAAGGGAAAUAUUAGAACACCUUUUUGGAUCAGUUAUCUUUUAUCUGUAUUUUCAAGCCUGUAGUUUUCAAAAAUAUUUGAGUACAAUCAAAAGGAAAGAUCUUAGUGGAAGCAUCUAUGUACUAUUAAGAUCAAGUUACUUGAGGAUUUGAAGGGCACUGUAAUAAUGCUAUCCUUAGAUUUUUUUUUAAGAUGGGAGAAUGUACAAAUGUCAAAGCAGGAGGCCAAAAUUACACUA